rnacentral:lncRNA from 1 species
AAAACUACCUGACCAAAAAACUUUAACCUGAAGCCAAAAACUUUAACCUGAAAUUUGCACUAUCAUUUUCUAUGUUCAGUGAACCGUAAAAUUGGGAUCAAAACUCUAAUUUUGCAUUUAAAUUAGAAAGAUCAUAUCAUAGGGCACAUGUAUACUAAGUUUCAAGUUGAUUGGACUUCAACUUCAUCAAAAACUACCUUGACCAAAAACUUUAACCUGAAGCGGGACAGACGGACGGACGGACGGACGGACGGACGGACGAACGAACGGACGCACAGACCAGAAAACAUAAUGCCCCUCUACUAUCGUAGGUGGGGCAUAACAAUAGAGGGAAAGAGAGACGUAAGAUACCAAAGGAAUGUUUUAGGAAAGAUGGAUGACACUUGGAUAAUUUCUGUCGUCACAUGCGAAAUAAAUAAUAUUUCAAACACUUCACACA